CUUUGCUCGACGAGUGGCGGACGGGUGAGUAAUGCUUAGGGAUCUGCCCAGAGGUGGGGGACAACAGUUGGAAACGACUGCUAAUACCGCAUGAUGCCUACGGGCCAAAGGGGGCUUCGGCUCUCGCCUUUGGAGGAACCUAAGUGAGAUUAGCUAGUUGGUGAGGUAAUGGCUCACCAAGGCGACGAUCUCUAGCUGGUCUGAGAGGAUGAUCAGCCACACUGGAACUGAGACACGGUCCAGACUCCUACGGGAGGCAGCAGUGGGGAAUAUUGCACAAUGGGGGAAACCCUGAUGCAGCCAUGCCGCGUGUGUGAAGAAGGCCUUCGGGUUGUAAAGCACUUUCAGUAGCGAGGAAAAGUUAUUGGUUAAUACCCAAUAGCCUUGACGUUAACUACAGAAGAAGCACCGGCUAACUCCGUGCCAGCAGCCGCGGUAAUACGGAGGGUGCGAGCGUUAAUCGGAAUUACUGGGCGUAAAGCGCAUGCAGGCGGUCUGUUAAGCCAGAUGUGAAAGCCCGGGGCUCAACCCCGGAAUAGCAUUUGGAACUGGCAGACUAGAGUUUUGUAGAGGGGGGUAGAAUUUCAGGUGUAGCGGUGAAAUGCGUAGAGAUCUGAAGGAAUACCAGUGGCGAAGGCGGCCCCCUGGACAAAAACUGACGCUCAGAUGCGAAAGCGUGGGUAGCAAACAGGAUUAGAUACCCUGGUAGUCCACGCCGUAAACGAUGUCAACUAGUUGCUUGUAGCUUUUACGCUGUGGGUGACGGAGCUAACGCAUUAAGUUGACCGCCUGGGGAGUACGGCCGCAAGGUUAAAACUCAAAUGAAUUGACGGGGGCCCGCACAAGCGGUGGAGCAUGUGGUUUAAUUCGAUGCAACGCGAA
rnacentral:rRNA from 1 species